AGUGAACGCUGGCGGUAGGCCUAACACAUGCAAGUCGAACGGCAGCACAGGAGAGCUUGCUCUCUGGGUGGCGAGUGGCGGACGGGUGAGGAAUACAUCGGAAUCUACUUUUUCGUGGGGGAUAACGUAGGGAAACUUACGCUAAUACCGCAUACGACCUACGGGUGAAAGCAGGGGACCUUCGGGCCUUGCGCGAUUGAAUGAGCCGAUGUCGGAUUAGCUAGUUGGCGGGGUAAAGGCCCACCAAGGCGACGAUCCGUAGCUGGUCUGAGGGGAUGAUCAGCCACACUGGAACCGAGACACGGUCCAGACUCCUACGGGAGGCAGCAGUGGGGAAUAUUGGACAAUGGGCGCAAGCCUGAUCCAGCCAUACCGCGUGGGUGAAGAAGGCCUUCGGGUUGUAAAGCCCUUUUGUUGGGAAAGAAAUCCAGCUGGCUAAUACCCGGUUGGGAUGACGGUACCCAAAGAAUAAGCACCGGCUAACUUCGUGCCAGCCGCCGCAGUAA
rnacentral:rRNA from 1 species